rnacentral:lncRNA from 1 species
AAAAAGAAAGAAGUGGAGGGGGGAAAAAAAAGCAAAACCAAGGAACUACCUCCCCAAAAGACAAAGAAAAAGAAUAGCAGCAACAGAAUGUGAGCAAGAAGGAACCAGUGCCCACGAACAACAAGCCGCCUCCCACAUAGGAAUCAGAAAAAGAGGACAAGCGUAAACCCGUGUCUCAUGAGGAGAAGCGGCAGCUAAGUCUAGAUAUCAACGAACUUCCUGGUGGGAAGCUAGGCUGUGCCGUGCACAUAAUUCAGUUGAGGGAACCAUCACUUAAAACCUCCAACCCCGAUGAGACUGAGCUUGGCUUUGAGACCCAGAAGCCAUCUAUGCUACGAGAGUUGGAGGGAUGUAUCAUCUCAUGUUUGUGGAAGAAAAGGAAACCUCAAACUGAAAAAGUUGAUAUGAUUGCUGGUUCUUCCAAGAUGAAGGGUUUCUCAUCCUCGGAGUGGGAG